GAUGAACGCUGGCGGCAUGCCUUACACAUGCAAGUCGAACGGCAGCACGGGAGCAAUCCUGGUGGCGAGUGGCGAACGGGUGAGUAAUGUAUCGGAACGUACCAUUGAGUGGGGGAUAACGUAGCGAAAGUUACGCUAAUACCGCAUAUACCCUGAGGGGGAAAGCAGGGGAUCGCAAGACCUUGUGCUCUUUGAGCGGCCGAUAUCAGAUUAGCUAGUUGGCGAGGUAAAGGCUCACCAAGGCGACGAUCUGUAGCGGGUCUGAGAGGAUGAUCCGCCACACUGGAACUGAGACACGGUCCAGACUCCUACGGGAGGCAGCAGUGGGGAAUUUUGGACAAUGGGGGCAACCCUGAUCCAGCCAUGCCGCGUGAGUGAAGAAGGCCUUCGGGUUGUAAAGCUCUUUCGGCCGGGAGGAAAUCGCAUCAGCUAAUACCUGGUGUGGAUGACAGUACCGGAAUAAGAAGCACCGGCUAACUACGUGCCAGCCGCCGCAGUAACAC
rnacentral:rRNA from 1 species